GGAGCGGCCACAAGCUGGUUAAACUGAACUUCUUUCUCUGGGGACUUGUGGAUGGGUUGGUGGCAUGAAAGGGAAAAAUUGGAGAGAAGCCCCCCACCCCCCAGUAUUCUCCUUUAAGUCCCAGCAUGCAAUGCAACAGUCCUUCAAGCAGAGAAAGGCCUUGAGGUACUGGGAGCCAGGUGGGUCAGAGGGCACCAGCCCUGGUGCUGAUUCUCUCAGCACUCUCUUGGGGUGUCGUCGGGACCCUGCAGGUGGCGCUGAGGAGGAGCAGGCAAGGCCAGAGGGGGCUGUGAAUGGGCCUUUGGAGCCCCAGAUCCUUGAGGACAACCUCACGCUCAGCCUAGCAGAGGUGCUUCAGACCAGUCUGCCUGAGGCUUUGCGGAUCAAAUUGGAAUUGGAUGGUGAGAGUCAUAUCCUGGAGCUGCUACAGAAUAGGGACCUAGUCUCAGGCCGCCCAACCCUGGUAUGGUACCAGCCUGAUGGCACCCGGGUGGUCAGUGAGGGACACACUCUGGAGAACUGCUGCUACCAGGGAAUUGUGCAGGGCCAUGCCGACUCCUGGGUCUCUGUCUGCACCUGCUCUGGGCUCAGGGGCUUAGUGAUCCUGUCCCCAGAGAGAAGCUACGUCCUGGAUCUGGGGCCUGGGGACCUUCAGGGUUCCCCCGUUAUUUCCCGGAUCCAAGACCUCCUCCUGCCAGGCCACACUUGUGCCCUGAGCAGGCCUGCAUCUGUGCUCACUCAGGCUCCACCAGCGCGCCCCCUGGGACAGCAUCACAGUCACCGGUGGAGGCGGGAUGUGGUGACAGAGACCAAGAUUGUGGAGCUGGUGAUUGUGGCUGACCAUUCUGAGGUCCAGAGGUACCGGGACUUCCAGAGCCUGCUGAACCGUACCUUGGAAGUAGUCGUCCUCCUGGACACAUUCUUCCGACCUCUGAAUGUCCGAGUGAUGUUAGUGGGCCUGGAGGCCUGGGCCCAGCGCAACCUGAUAGAGAUAAGCCAGGACCCAGCUCUCACACUAGACAGCUUCCUCCGCUGGCGCCGGUCAGACCUGCUGCCUCGAUUGCCCCACGACAGUGCCCAGCUGGUGACUGCUACUUCAUUCUCUGGGCCCACGGUGGGCAUGGCCAUUCAGAACUCCAUCUGCUCUCCUGAUUUCUCAGGAGGUGUGAACAUGGACCACUCCACAAGCAUCCUGGGAGUUGCCUCCUCAAUAGCCCAUGAGUUGGGCCACAGCCUAGGCCUGGACCACGACUCACCUGGGAACCGCUGCCCCUGUCCAGGUCCCGCCCCAGCCAAGAGCUGCAUCAUGGAGGCCUCCACAGACUUCCUGCCAGGCCUGAACUUCAGCAACUGCAGCCGACAGGCCCUGGAGAAAGCCCUCCUGGGUGGGAUGGGCAGCUGCCUCUUUGAACGGCUGUCCACUCUGCCCUCUAUGGCCAGCAUCUGUGGAAAUAUGUUGGUGGAGCCCGGCGAGCAGUGUGACUGUGGCUUCCCAGAUGACUGCGCCGAUCCCUGCUGUGAUUACCACACCUGCCAGCUGAGGCCAGGGGCACAGUGCGCAUCUGAUGGACUCUGUUGUCAAAAUUGCCAGCUGCGCCCGGCUGGCUGGCAGUGUCGCCCUACCAGAGGUGACUGUGACUUGCCCGAGUUCUGCCCAGGAGACAGCUCCCAGUGCCCCCCUGAUGUCAGCCUGGGAGAUGGCGAGCCGUGUGCUGGUGGACAGGCUGUGUGCAUGCAAGGGCGUUGUGCCUCCUAUGCCCAGCAGUGCCAAGCUCUCUGGGGACCUGGGGCCCAGCCCGCCAUGCCGCUUUGCCUCCUGACUGCCAAUACUCGGGGGGAUGCCUUUGGGAGCUGUGGGCGCAACCCUGAUAGAAGCUACGUGUCCUGUGCCCCCAGAGAUGCCAUUUGUGGACAGCUCCAGUGCCAGGGUGGGAGGGCCCAGCCUCUGCUAGGCUCAGCCCGGGAUCUGCACUGGGAGGUGCUGGAAGACAAUGGGACUCAGCAGAAGUUGAACUGCAGCUGGGUCCACCUGGACUUGGGCAAUGACGUGGCCCAGCCCCUCCUGACUCUGCCUGGCACAGCCUGUGGUCCUGGCCUGGUGUGCAUUAACCAUCGAUGCCAGCCUGAGGAAAUCCUGGGUGCACAGGAAUGUCGAAGCAAAUGCCAUGGGCAUGGGGUCUGCGACAGCAACAGACACUGCCGCUGUGAGGAGGGCUGGGCACCCCCGGACUGCACCACCCACAUCAGAGCAACCAGCUCCCUGACCACAGGGCUGGCCCUCAGCCUCCUGUUGUUGCUGGUCCUGGUAUUGCUUGGUGCCAGCUACUGGCACCGUGCCCGCCUGCGCCAGCGAAUCUGCCAGCUCAAGGGACCCAGCUGCCAAUACAGGGCAGCCCAGUCUGGUCCUCCAGAACGCCCAGGACCCCCGCAGAGGGCCCUGCUGAUGCCAGGUGCCAAGGUGGAUCUACCUGUGCUCCCAGCCGUGACUCCUGGAGGGCAGGAGGGGGUGGUGCUCAGAGUGGCCUUCAGUGUGCCAGGACCUGACGAGGCCCAGGUCACCAUGUGUAGAAGGGCUGUCUCAGGGGCCCGCCAAGCCCCCACCCCCAAGAAAACCACUGCCUGCUGAUCCCCAGGGCCAGCGCCCUUCGGGUGACCUGCUUGACCCUGGAGCUGGAAUCCCGCCCCCAGUGGUACCCUCCAGGCCUGCGCCGCCGCCUCCAGCAAUGUCCUCGCUCUACCUCUGACCUCUCCUGAGGUCCCGCUGCCUCUAACCUGGACUUAGGACUUCAAGAGGUGGGCCUGACCCCUGGAGUCCCCCCGCGAUGACUGAAGGAGCUGGAGCCUGGACGCUACAGAGCAGGCCUCUUAAGACACCAGGCACCUCCACGCACUGUUGAGGAGCACCCUGGGGACCCGCCCACGCAAUGGCAGCUGGGGGUUGGGGAGGGGCUGGGCGCUGGACGGGGCUGAGGGAGGUGCGCACAGCCUGUCUCUGAUCAGUUGCAAUAAACGUGAGGUCUUGA